rnacentral:tRNA from 1 species
UAGCUCAGUUGGUAGAGUAUGGUGUUUGUAACGCCAGGGUUGUGGGUUCGAUUCCCAC